CGUUAAAAAAGAGAGAAAAAUUAUGUUAAAUCUAUUUAAUAAACAAAAUAAAAAUAACAUUCUAAAAAACAAAAAGAAAAUUAAGUUGCACCCAAUUAGGAAAGAGCACAUUUUAAAAAAUGAGGCGUUGGUGUUUUGGAAAUUAAUGUUCUUGGUCUUCUUCACUAUCUUCAUAUGUGUUCUUGUUCCAAUCAAGAUUUUAAUGCAAACUUUUAAGAGAAACUCCUCCGAAUAGUUAUAACUUCAGCUAAAGAUUCUCCACGACGACUCAAAGGCAACCCAACAUUAGUUUCACAAACUUUCAUCAAAUCAAGUAUUCAUUUUAAAUCUUCAAACUUUAUAUACAAAGACUCUAUUAAUGGUGUUUCGACUUGAAAUAAAAAACUCAGACUCAUUUCAAUUUUAAUCAAUAAGGGGGGCUGCUCCCGAAGAAGAGUCACGACUGGAAAUGGGUAGGGUGAAAAAGAAGGGUUCGACGAUGAGGGUUAGAGAGGAAGGUGGAAGAGGAUUUAGUGGCGAGGAGGGGGGAGCUUGGAGGCGGCUGGUUGUUUGGAGAAGGGGCCAGCGGCUGCUUUUUUAAUUGAAGAAGAAGGGUUGGUAAAGGGUGUGGGCAACUGUAGUAUUGGGAUCUCAUCUCUUACUUUAUUCAAUAGGGAUGGUUGUUUGUUUAAACUUUCGAACUAAAUCAAUGGUACAGGCACAAUAAUGGUGAAAGUGGAGGAGGCAAUG
rnacentral:lncRNA from 1 species